CGUCGGGUCACCAAGGGAGAAGGUGGCUUUUCGCUAAGGUGACGACUGACUACUGCGGCCCUGGGGUCAUCGACCUACGCUGGAGAGAUGCCCACGGAGGACCACGAUGGGAGCGAGCCCUGCGUGAAGUCACUUGUGUACGUGCGGAGGCGACCCAAACGUCUGCCACGCACACUCAGCCCCGAGCCCGAUUCUCUCCUAGUUGUAUGCGACCCUCUGGUUUCCCGACCCAGGGCAUCCUUGCUUCCACAGGCCCUUUCAUUUGCCCCCGCCUUCCCUUGACUCCUCCUACCCAGAUCGCUGCUCGUUUGCCCCGCCCUUUUUGUCCCAGCCGCAGUGACGUGACGUGCUCCGUGCGUGGGGAUUCCGUGGGACUGGUCCGAUUACCCAGUUCACCUUGCGCCCGGUGAACAAAUGAUCUCUGCCAGGCCGGGGCGUGAGUGCGUGAUGCUCCCCUACCCCGAGCGCCUUUCUAGGUCUGAGCUUAGGUUACACAGAUGUCAGCAUGAAGGCAGGCCCAAAUGGUGGUAAGGGAAACAAAGGUAAAGGUGGGAAGAGGCCUAGUUUAAAAACCAAGUAGCAGGUGGUGUCCAAUAGCGUCGGAUUCUGCCUGACCCUCUUUAUGUGUUUGAUGUAAAGUACUCCAGCUAAUUUUAAAGAUGAGAAGACUGAGGCAAACAGGGUUAAGGUUUCAACGUCACGAGAUGGUCUCUAAACCCAGAACUCUGGGAGAGGAAUCAUCCCGACCCCACCCACGGCACUCUGUUGAACUAAAAAAGCAUGGGUGCAGACCCAGGGAGCACUUCCUAGUCCUGGAACCGCUAGAAGCGCAGUGGAUAGAACAAUGGACCUGUUAUCAAGUUUGGUCUCACUAUCUACAUAAAAUGCAUACCUGAUUUCCCCAGUAGUAAAAUGGAGAUGAGAAUAUUUGCUAAAUACUUACCACAAAGCUUGGCACUCAAUGUGAACUAAAUAAAUGCAUAUUCCUUU